CGGGGGGCAGCAGUCGAGAAUUUUUCUCAAUGGGGGAAACCCUGAAGGAGCGACGCCGCGUGGAGGAUGAAGGUCUUCGGAUCGUAAACUCCUGUCAUUUGGGAACAAUUGUUAGCGAUUAACUGUCGUUAACUUGAUAGUACCAGAAGAGGAAGAGACGGCUAACUCUGUGCCAGCAGCCGCGGUAAUACAGAGGUCUCAAGCGUUGUUCGGAUUCAUUGGGCGUAAAGGGUGCGUAGGUGGCGAGGUAAGUCAGGUGUGAAAUCUCGGGGCUCAACCUCGAAACUGCACUUGAUACUGCCUUGCUUGAGUACUGGAGAGGAGAUUGGAAUUUACGGUGUAGCAGUGAAAUGCGUAGAUAUCGUAAGGAAGACCAGUGGCGAAGGCGAAUCUCUGGACAGUUACUGACACUGAGGCACGAAGGCCAGGGGAGCAAACGGGAUUAGAUACCCGAGU
rnacentral:rRNA from 1 species